GCCCGAUUAGCUCAGCUGGUUAGAGCGUCGUACUAAUACUGGAGAUCAGUAGAUAGUCCAUGCGAAGGUCAACAGUUCAAUCCUGUUAUUGGGCA
rnacentral:tRNA from 1 species